rnacentral:rRNA from 1 species
UGAGGAAUAUUGGUCAAUGGGCGAGAGCCUGAACCAGCCAAGUAGCGUGCAGGAUGACGGCCCUAUGGGUUGUAAACUGCUUUUACGCGGGGAUAAAGUGCGUGACGUGUCUCGCAUUGCAGGUACCGCGUGAAUAAGGACCGGCUAAUUCCGUGCCAGCAGCCGCGGUAAUACGGAAGGUCCGGGCGUUAUCCGGAUUUAUUGGGUUUAAAGGGAGCGCAGGCCGCCCGAUAAGCGUGUUGUGAAAUGUACCGGCUCAACCGGUGAGUUGCAGCGCGAACUGUCAGGCUUGAGUGCACGGUAAGCAGGCGGAAUUCAUGGUGUAGCGGUGAAAUGCUUAGAUAUCAUGAGGAACUCCGAUUGCGAAGGCAGCUUGCUGCAGUGCGACUGACGCUUAGGCUCGAAGGUGCGGGUAUCAAACAGGAUUAGAUACCCUGGUAGUCCGCACGGUAAACGAUGGAUGCCCGCUGUCCGCCCAUUCGUGGCGGGCGGCCAAGCGAAAGCGUUAAGCAUCCCACCUGGGGAGUACGCCGGCAACGGUGAAACUCAAAGGAAUUGACGGGGGCCCGCACAAGCGGAGGAACAUGUGGUUUAAUUCGAUGAUACGCGAGGAACCUUACCCGGGCUUGAACUGCCAGUGAACGAUACAGAGAUGUUGAGGCCCUUCGGGGCGCUGGUGGAGGUGCUGCAUGGUUGUCGUCAGCUCGUGCCGUGAGGUGUCGGCUUAAGUGCCAUAACGAGCGCAACCCCUCUCUUCAGUUGCCAUCAGGUGAUGCUGGGCACUCUGGAGACACUGCCACCGCAAGGUGUGAGGAAGGUGGGGAUGACGUCAAAUCAGCACGGCCCUUACGUCCGGGGCUACACACGUGUUACAAUGGGGCAUACAGAGCGUCGGUUCAA